GACGAACGCUGGCGGCGUGCUUAACACAUGCAAGUCGAACGGGCCUGUCUUCUUUUUUGGGGGUGGGCUGAGUGGCGAACGGGUGAGUAUCACGUGAGUAACCUGCCCUUCGGUCCUGGAUAACCGCUUGAAAGGGCGGCUAAUACGGGGUGGUCCGGUUGGUCCGCAUGGGCUGGUCGGGAUAGAUUCACUGUUUUUGGUGUUUCGGCGGGGGAUGGGCUCGCGGCCUAUCAGCUUGUUGGUGGGGUGAUGGCCUACCAAGGCGGUGACGGGUAGCCGGCCUGGGAGGGUGGGCGGCCACACUGGGACUGAGAUACGGCCCAGACUCCUGCGGGAGGCAGCAGUGGGGGGUAUUGCACAAUGGGCGGAAGCCUGAUGCAGCGACGUCGCGUGAGGGAUGGAGGCCUUCGGGUUGUGAACCUCUGUUUCCGGUGGUGAAGGCCCUGUCCGUGUGGUGGGGUUGACGGUAGCCGGGGAUGAAGCGCCGGCUAACUACGUG
rnacentral:rRNA from 1 species